rnacentral:rRNA from 1 species
UACGUAGGGCGCAAGCGUUGUCCGGAAUUACUGGGCGUAAAGAGCUCGUAGGUGGUUUGUCACGUUGUUCGUGAAAUCUCACGGCUUAACUGUGAGCGUGCGGGCGAUACGGGCAGACUAGAGUACUGCAGGGGAGACUGGAACUCCUGGUGUAGCGGUGGAAUGCGCAGAUAUCAGGAGGAACACCGGUGGCGAAGGCGGGUCUCUGGGCAGUAACUGACGCUGAGGAGCGAAAGCGUGGGGAGCGAACAGG